rnacentral:rRNA from 1 species
GCCUACGGGGGCAGCAGUAGGGAAUAUUGCUCAAUGGGGGAAACCCUGAAGCAGCAACGCCGCGUGGAGGAUGAAGGUUUUCGGAUUGUAAGCUCCUUUUGUUAGAGAAGAUAAUGACGGUAUCUAACGAAUAAGCACCGGCUAACUCCGUUCCAGCAGCCGCGGUAAUACGGAGGGUGCAAGCGUUACUCGGAAUCACUGGGCGUAAAGAGCGCGUAGGCGGGAUAGCAAGUCAGAUGUGAAAUCCUAUGGCUUAACCAUAGAACUGCAUUUGAAACUGUUAUUCUAGCGUAUGGGAGAGGUAG